GGUGAAAUUCCAAUCGAGCCCGGAGAUAGCUGGUUCUCCCCGAAAUAGCUUUAGGGCUAGCCUCAAGGUGAGAGAUACGGAGGUAGAGCACUGAAUGUCCUAGGGGGUAUUGCACCUACCGAAGACUAUCAAACUCCGAAUGCCGUCAUCUUAUACUUGGGAGUCAGACUGUGGGUGAUAAGAUUCAUAGUCGAAAGGGCAACAGCCCAGAUCGUCAGCUAAGGUCCCUAAAUGUAAGUUAAGUGGUAAAGGAUGUGGGAUUGCACAGACAACCAGGAUGUUGGCUUAGAAGCAGCCACUCAUUCAAAGAGUGCGUAAUAGCUCACUGGUCGAGUGAUCCUGCGCCGAAGAUUUCCGGGGCUAAAACUUACUACCGAAGCUACGGCAUCAGUAAUGAUGGGUAGGGGAGCUUCCCAUACGGGUUGAAGCAUGACCGUAAGGACAUGUGGACAGUAUGGGAGUGAGAAUGUUGGCAUGAGUAGCGAGAUGUGGGUGAGAAUCCCACAGGCCGUAAACCCAAGGUUUCCAGGGGAAGGUUCGUCCGCCCUGGGUUAGUCGGGACCUAAGCUGAGGCCGAAAGGCGUAGGUGAUGGACAACAGGUUGAUAUUCCUGUACUACCGAUAACCGUUUGAGAGAAGGGAUGACACAGUAGGAUAAGCUAAGCACACUGUUGGUUAUGUGUGCCCAAGCAUUGAGGCAGUCAAAGUAGGCAAAUCCGCUUUGAUAAUGCUGGGAUGUGAUGGGGAGCGAAAUUUAGUAGCGAAGUAGCUGAUUUCACACUGUCAAGAAAAGUCUCUAUCGAGGUUAAAGGUACCCGUACCGCAAACCGACACAGGUGGGUGAGGAGAGUAUCCUAAGGCCAGCGAGAGAACUGUUGUUAAGGAACUCGGCAAAAUGACCCCGUAACUUAGGGAUAAGGGGUGCCACCAUCAGGUGGCCGCAGAGAAUAGGCCCAAGCGACUGUUUACCAAAAACAUAGGUUUCUGCUAAGUCGCAAGACGAUGUAUAGGAGCUGACGCCUGCCCGGUGCUGGAAGGUUAAGGGGAUCUGUUAGAGCAAUCGAAGCAGUGAACUUAAGCCCCAGUAAACGGCGGCCGUAACUAUAACGGUCCUAAGGUAGCGAAAUUCCUUGUCGGGUAAGUUCCGACCCGCACGAAAGGCGUAACGAUUUGGGCACUGUCUCAACAACAGACUCGGUGAAAUUGUAAUUCCGGUGAAGAUGCCGGAUACCUGCGACAGGACGGAAAGACCCCAUGGAGCUUUACUGUAGCUUGACAUUGGGUCUUGGUACUACAUGUACAGGAUAGGUGGGAGGCUUUGAAACCAGGACGCCAGUUUUGGCGGAGCCAUCCUUGGGAUACCACCCUUGUAGUACUGGGACUCUAACCAUAGGCCAUGAAUCUGGUCUUGGGACACUGUCAGGUGGGCAGUUUGACUGGGGCGGUCGCCUCCCAAAAGGUAACGGAGGCGCUCAAAGGUUCUCUCAGUACGGUCGGAAAUCGUACGUAGAGUGUAAAGGCAAAAGAGAGCUUGAUUGCAAGACAUACAGGUCGAGCAAGGAUGAAAAUCGGACUUAGUGAUCCGGUGGUUCUGCGUGGAAGGGCCAUCGCUCAACGGAUAAAAGCUACCCUGGGGAUAACAGGCUUAUCUCCCCCAAGAGUCCACAUCGACGGGGAGGUUUGGCACCUCGAUGUCGGCUCAUCACAUCCUGGGGCUGUAGUAGGUCCCAAGGGUUGGGCUGUUCGCCCAUUAAAGUGGUACGCGAGCUGGGUUCAGAACGUCGUGAGACAGUUCGGUCCCUAUCCGUCGCAGGCGUAGGAAAUUUGAGAAGACCUGUCCUUAGUACGAGAGGACCGGGAUGGACGUACCUCUGGUGUACCAGUUGUCCUGCCAAGGGCAUGGCUGGGUAGCUAUGUACGGAAUGGAUAAGCGCUGAAAGCAUCUAAGCGCGAAGUCAACUUCAAGAUAAGAUUUCCCACCGCAAGGGUAAGACCCCAGAAAGACUAUCUGGUUGAUAGGUCGAAGGUGUAAGUGCAGCAAUGUAUUUAGCUUAUCGAUACUAAUAGGUCGAGGACUUGACCAA
rnacentral:rRNA from 1 species